GACGAACGCUGGCGGCGUGCUUAACACAUGCAAGUCGAACGGAAAGGCCCUGCUUUUGUGGGGUGCUCGAGUGGCGAACGGGUGAGUAACACGUGAGUAACCUUCCCUUGACUUUGGGAUAACUUCAGGAAACUGGGGCUAAUACCGGAUAGGAGCUCCUGCUGCAUGGUGGGGGUUGGAAAGUUUCGGCGGUUGGGGAUGGACUCGCGGCUUAUCCGCUUGUUGGUGGGGUAGUGGCUUACCAAGGCUUUGACGGGUAGCCGGCCUGAGAGGGUAACCGGACACAGGGGAAAGGGGAAAGGGCCGAACCCGUGAGGGGGGGAGGGAGAGGGGAAAAUGGCAAAAGGGGCGGAGGCGUGAUCAGGCAAACCGGGGGGGGGGAUGACGGCCUCGGGGUUGAAAAACGAUUGGGCGUGGAACGAGGGGUGGGGGAGGGAAAUGGUGAAAAAAGCACCGGUAAAAUAGGG
rnacentral:rRNA from 1 species